rnacentral:rRNA from 1 species
GACGAAGGAUGCAAGCGUUAUCCGGAUUCAUUGGGUUUAAAGGGAGCGUAGGUGGCCUUAUAAGUCAGUGGUGAAAUCUCUCGGCUUAACUGAGAAAUUGCCAUUGAUACUGUAGGGCUUGAGUACAGUUGCUGUGGGCGGAAUAUGACAUGUAGUGGUGAAAUGCAUAGAGAUGUCAUAGAACACCGAUUGCGAAGGCAGCUCACAAAACUGUAACUGACACUGAGGCUCGAAAGUGCGGGGAUCAAACAGG